CUCACGAUUUAUCUCCGAAUUAAUCGGUCAUCAUCGUCUCCUAUCGGUGUAUUAUCACGGAUAUAAAUGUCUUAGGUUAUAAUUCAAAAGUUCACGGUGCUUUAAAUCCGAAAAUGAUCGAUUUUAAACCAUCCCGUAACUUGAUUUCAUCCUCCACGUUUUCUUCAGGUCGAAUGGCGUAGCACUGCUAGCAUUUUAGCUUUUACGUGACUUUUUAACGGCACGAUGCAGGUUAAGUCAAAUAAUGACACGGAAUUGUAUUUGUGUCAAGAGUAUGAGAGUGAUAGCAUAGUUAGGCUGCAGCCGAUUCUGUCAAUAUGCAUUUAAUCCCGUGAUUUAUGCUAUGGGUUUGUUAGCAUGACGUGCUAACCGGAAAUGACUACGCACUUCGUGGAUAUAUAUAGUUUUGAGGGAAGUGCCCGUUUAUUGGCAGUGCGAAGUGUGUAUGCUGUAAACUUCAAUCACACACCAACCAACCACCAACUAAUAGGAGUUAAGGGUGUGUGUGUUUGUUUGUGACGUAGAAAAGAAGAGAGACGUUAAAACCGAUUUUUUCUGAUAUAGUCUCGAGCGCGUUUUGGUCAGCGGCACGGGGCUGUUUACCAGUGACGUCUUCAAAUCUGCACCACGACCAAAAAGGCAGCUAACAAACAGAACAUUAGGAAAGGAUCAGGUGCUCCAGCUAACUGGAGUUUUUCGUCAGUGUCACUGAUGAGAUGAAGCCAGAAAAGCCAUCUACCUCAUUUGCACUUGAGCCUUUGUUUCUGGGACCAGCUGGCAGACAUGUAGCAAAACCAUGUGAACAGGGAAGAUGUCCCAGAGCAUCCUGCUGCUCGUGAGCCUGCUGCUUUUCACCCAGAACCCCUCUGUCUGUGGGACAUUUAAUGUGAAUGCAACACAGACCUACUAUGAAGCAGAGGAGAACCAGGACGUCUUACUGGAAUGGACAUUUCCAACCAACGCUGACAGUCCAGACUACCCCACAGAAAUCUACUGUGAACUGUUAGCUGAUCGCGGGCACCCAAUCAUACUUCAUCUGUUUAAAGGUGAAGAGUUGAAAUGGUCACAGAGUAAACAGUUCAGAGAGCGAGUCCAAUAUGACAAAGACCUCCUCAAACAAGGACGACUCAGACUGAAUAUUUCCAGACUUACGACUGAUCUCUCGGGCCUGUGCCUGUGUACUGUUGUCACAAGUAAUGGGACGGACAGCGGGAGAAGCUUGCUCAAUGUCACUGCAGCGAGGGGUAUGUCUGAACCUAAGAAACCGAAAACAAGUCAACUGCCAAAAGAGAGUCGAGGAAGAGUCGGUCUCUACUGUUCGCUGGGACUGACAGGAGUAGCUCUGCUGGGUUUGUGUUGCCUUUUAUUCAGGCGAUCUCCGCCCAAAAAACAAGAUCCAAUCAAUCCAGAGCCGAAACGAGAAGAUUCAGUCAUUGAAAUGGAGCCGAAACGAGAAGAUUCAGUCAUUGAAAUGGAGCUGAAACGAGAAGAUUCAGUCUCAGACAACAGUUUGGGAUAUGAAACGCAGAACACAAAUUCAUCAGUCAGCCUCAACGUUUGAGAGCACACUUUAAGCCCAGUUCAGACCAAAGAUUCAUGACAAGACUUUUUUUUGGUCAUUUAAAUUUUUAUUUAAGACUUAGGAUUAAUCAAACAUCAUAUAAAGAAAGAAAAACCCAAAUGCUUCAAUAUAUAGAAAAUACAACCAUCUUAAGAAAAACAACAACAGCCACAACAUGCCUAUCUCAGCACGUAAACAUAACAUAAAGCGUAUCAUCAUUUGUUACAUACUAGAUAUUGUCCCUUUGAGAGACGCUAAUUGAAUUAAGUAAACUAAAUUAAAUGAGUCUUCCUACCCUAACAUAUUAUAGUUACUUAUUUCCACCAUUUGUUGUAGUAGUAGUAGUAGUAGUAUAGUAGUAAGUACUUGCAGUGCACUGGUCUGCAGUGUUCUAAUAACCUGCCAGUUUACACCAAUGCGACUGGACGAGACGAUGCAUCAUCUCGAAAGCAACGACUCAAUACUUCCAUUCUGAUUUCCACAUGUCCCGGCUUAUUUUGUAGCUGAAUAUUAUUUGAAGCUCCUUAAGAUAAGAGUGUGGAAAGUGAUAUUUGGUGUAGCUGCAUCUCUGAGUGAUAAAAUGGCCAAAACAUAAACAUGGCAGCACCCAGUGAUUCAUCCUUGCUGCAUUUGACCCCACAAAUCAGUGUGGGACGUCAGCAAAUCAGUAGGUGAUGUCAUUGUAGCUGUUUUUAGUACUUAUAUAAUUUGUUAUAGCAAAUGACACCAGCAGCAGGCAUGACUCAAGCUAUGACCAGCCAGUUCACACGGCUGCAACUUUUCUCUGUUACGGUUUUAUAAUCUUUGGUCUGAACUGGGCCUGACCAAGGAGGGUGGAAAGAGGAGAAGUUUCUGUCUGAAGUAAUGCCACACAGUUGGGGUACAUCACAUGUGCAGUGAAAUCUAGUCGGCAGUCACCCGGCCUUACUGGCUGAUUGCCCGGCAGACUAGAUACAACCGCUUGUCUGCUGUACCCCAGUUGUGAGACGUCAUUUUAGACCGUGACUUCUAAUCUUCACCCUCCGGGCUGAAUAACUUGCCAUUUUUGUGAUUUAAUAUUGCAGCAAACGGCUUGCGUUAAAUGAGUUUGUCCCUCUGCAUUAAGUCAAGACUUCGACAUUACCACCGACCUCAUCUGAUGCAACCAAGAUAACUCAGUUAGUACUUUAUCUGCAAAGACAUGCACUCUCAGUGUUGUACAGAGUGAAGGCUUCCAUAAUAUGGUGAAUACAGUGGAUUCUUGUUAAACCACGACCUACAACUCAGCGACAUCGCGGUGUUCAAGUUGCACAUGGGGUUAAAAACGAGCGUGCCGGGAUCUCAGCUCAGCUGGGACUUUCUUGGACAUACGAUGCUUGGACAUUGAGGGCCGCUGAAUUGUACGUAACCAUAACAGCUCAUCAUGUAUCAGCUGAGUGGAAGCAGGACUCGUACUACAAACUAGAGAGAAGCAUGACACACACACUGGAGAUAGAACUUAGUAGUGUUACUACAGAAAGCUGUUACCGAGUGGAGAUUGUAAGCAAAAGAUCCUGCAAUUGUAACAGAUAACACAUCCAAUAUGAACUUUGUGGCUGGACUUGUGGACAUGAACCAAAAACAGUUUUCCUUAAAGCCUGAAUCUUACUUUACUGAAAGCAGUGGAAUUGGGAACAAUCUUGACAAUACGCUGCAGGAUCAGAUGUGCCUCGAGCAGCCACCAGCUGAAACACAAACCAACUGUAGCUAUUAAAAUCCAGGCUGAUCCCAGAUGACGACACAAGGUGGAGCUGUUCUGGCAUGAUAGAAAGACAACUAAAGCAGCAACCUGGCCUCCAUGCAGCACUUCCGCCAGCAGAGGCCAGAAUGAGUGCAAAGGACGUCUUAACAUUGAGCCAGGCUCACAUCGCAUGUGCAGAAGUGCCAAACCAAGCCAAUGAGGAAAGCCACCUUGGUUGAUGCCAAAGAAGAUCAUGUAAACAUCAUUUCAUUAAAUCAUGCCAAGUUUGUCAUGAGCACAGAAGGAAAGCUCGGACGACAGACAGUGGAAGGACAUCAAGGUUGCUGUAGCUCAAGAUUUGGGAAAGAGUGUUUCCAGUGAGAGGGAGACGCCGUGCCUGGCAUUAGCGCUCCAUCCUAGAUUGAAGGAUCGACCCAUUCUCACCAAAGCUGAUGCUUACUCCAACAUGACACAUGCUCUGAUGGCUGCCAUAAAGAAGCAACAAAAUCAGAAAGUGGAAGUAAGACAGUUUUAGGAAGCUAAUCAUUCUCCAAGCAACACAUUUCCCAGAAGACAUUGUUAUUGUACUGAGAGGAUUCCUGAAAGCUUGAAAUGUUGCCCUGCUCAUCUUCCUCUGCAAAAUCCCUAACAUGAAAAAAUCAGCAUAUACAUUCAGACUGGAACAACAUCCUAAAGUCAAGUUAAAGGGAUCCAAGAAUGUUUACUAUUGCAAUGAAUUUCUUUGAUUUUUGUAAUUUAUUUUGAAUCCUGCAAGCACUUGUUUUUCAUUGAUACUGACAGAUUUAAUUCUGACUGCAGUAUGUAGAAUCCCCACAUACCAGACUUUGCACUUUAGGAGAGUCACAGCUCCCACAUUACUCCCUGUGGGUGUCUGUGACCUCACUUAACUCCGCCUCCCUUUCGCUCUUAUACUAUAGCUGAGAUUUUGUUAUUAUUAUUACUGCAGUUGUGUUAGAAUAUUGGAUGUUUCAGACGAUUUCAACAAUGGUUUCAUGUCUACUUUUUAUGAAGAAAAAAAAUAUUUUUUUAAAAACCAAAAGUAACAUAUAAGGCAUUAUUAUGAGAAAGUGUUAAUGCUCCGCUACAUAUCAAGAUAAAAAACGAUCAACACUCAGAUAUGCAACCUACCACGCCACCUAUAAAACAAUCAACCCAGAGAACAAAGUUGCCUUUAGAAAUACAGCAUGUGUAUAUACUGUAUUUUGAAAACUCAUUUUAUGACUUUUCAGACCCUCACGUGCCUUUUUUUUUUUUUU